UAAUCCACUUGUGAACGUAGCUGCUGCGGUCAAAAAGGAGCCCAGAGUGACAGUUUUCCUUGACGGUCGCCGUUCUGUUUGCUGUAACCGAUCUGCAACAUUUCAGGAAAAGACAAUG